rnacentral:lncRNA from 1 species
AAGAACUUAGAGCCUCUUAGUCUAUGGGGCUGACACCAUUAAGAGUUUAAAGGCGAGAACACAGACCUGGAGUUUGGAAGAUGGAGGAGGCUUUGAGAAGGACUGUAUGGCGAGCUGUGUUCCCAGCUUGUGUGGAAAUCAGUACUGGCCCAAAGUAUGGUCGGUGAACGGUGGGGUGAGCUAGAAAGGACAUGAGGGAAAUCUCUUGUCAGACUGUGGUGUAUGGUUCUGGAGGUAUAGGAUGGAAAGAAAAAGAUAUGAGGGUCCCAUUGGCUAUAUGUGAGCCCCUCUCUGCUCUACACAGAAUCGGAUACAUCUCAGCCAGAACAAGUAACUGUCAGUCAAAUUACAUUCUGUGCAUAGGCCGUGCGGUUCAGAGGGAAUACGAUGUUCUUCUGCCCAAAGUCAGGCAGAGAAUGUGGUAUUAGGACUCAAGCCUAGGUCUGCUUUGUUCCAAAGUGAUUUCUACUGAUGUGCCGUAUUUCUCAGACCAGCAAAAUGGACACUAUCCUGAGAGCGACAGAGAGACUGCCACCUGAAACUGGGGCAGACUGCGUGUUAUCCUGAAAGCACAGUUUGAGGGGCCAGCUGGGUACUGAGGGGAGGAGAGGCUAGAGGCAAGGAGACUGUGGCAGAGGCUAAAGUAGCAAUCAAGGUUGACAGAUGAAAAGGAAAGGACCAGUGAGGGGUGGGGCUUUUCUAAGGAGGGGAUAAAAUUCGUUUUAACAGACUGGCUCCAGGAACUUGGGAAGUGCAUCAGAAAGGACAGGACAGGCACAAAUGGGCAAUCUCUUAGACAGGCAGGACAUAGACUUGGUCUGAGUGAGUUAGAGGUAACAGUGGAUAACCAAUGGAAGAUGGUUUUGCGUCCCAGUAGGCAGUGAGAAUUAUGGGCUGGCGGGUAGGGCUGGUGGGUAAGAGCUAUUCUAUGGUGGUGUAGGACAUGAUGAUCUUGGAGAGAAAAGGAAGAACUGGAGGGAGACCACGGUCCAAGCCAGGAGGAAAGGAGAGAGGCGCACAGAGAACAGAAGACAGAUGCAUGGAGGCAGCUUGGAGCAGAGUUUGCAGUAGCCCCCUCCUCUCCCAUCCCCUCCAUCUUGGGCUUUCAUUGAUUGGCCUGACUGUCAGCCUCCAGAGGUCUCAGCUCUCAAGAUAAAGUGGGAGGUCCGUAAGGACUGGGAAAC